GCCCAGGUAGCUCAGUCCGGGAGAGCGUCAGACUGAAGAUCUGAAUGUCCCCGGUUCGAAUCCGGGUCUGGGCA
rfam:Methanosaeta harundinacea 6Ac, complete genome.